rnacentral:rRNA from 1 species
UACGUAGGUGGCGAGCGUUGUCCGGAAUUACUGGGUGUAAAGGGAGCGUAGGCGGGAAAGCAAGUCAGAAGUGAAAACUAUGGGCUCAACCCAUAGCCUGCUUUUGAAACUGUUUUUCUUGAGUGAGUCAGAGGCAAGCGGAAUUCCCAGUGUAGCGGUGAAAUGCGUAGAUAUUGGGAGGAACACCAGUGGCGAAGGCGGCUUGCUGGGGCUUUACUGACGCUGAGGCUCGAAAGCGUGGGGAGCAA